rnacentral:rRNA from 1 species
AUUGAACGCUGGCGGCAGGCCUAACACAUGCAAGUCGAGCGAGCGGCGGACGGGUGAGUAAUGUCUGGGAAACUGCCUGAUGGAGGGGGAUAACUACUGGAAACGGUAGCUAAUACCGCAUACCAUCAGAUGUGCCCAGAUGGGGUUAGAUAGUAGGUGGGGUAACGGUACACAUAGGCGACGAGCCCUAGCUGGUCUGGGAGGAGGACCAGCCACACUGUAACUGAGACACGGUCCAGCCUCCUACGGGAGGCAGCAGUGGGGAAUAUUGCACAAUGGGCGCAAGCCUGAUGCAGCCAUGCCGCGUGUGUGAAGAAGGCCUUCGGGUUGUAAAGCACUUUCAGCGGGGAGGCGUUACCCGCAGAAGAAGCACCGGCUAACUCCGUGCCAGCAGCCGCGGUAAUUC